rnacentral:rRNA from 1 species
GUGAACGCUGGCGGUAGACCUAACACAUGCAAGUCGAACGGCAGCACCGUAAGAGCUUGCUCUUACGGGUGGCGAGUGGCGGACGGGUGAGGAAUACAUCGGAAUCUACUUUUUCGUGGGGGAUAACGUAGGGAAACUUACGCUAAUACCGCAUACGACCUACGGGUGAAAGCAGGGGAUCUUCGGACCUUGCGCGAUUGAAUGAGCCGAUGUCGGAUUAGCUAGUUGGCGGGGUAAAGGCCCACCAAGGCGACGAUCCGUAGCUGGUCUGAGAGGAUGAUCAGCCACACUGGAACUGAGACACGGUCCAGACUCCUACGGGAGGCAGCAGUGGGGAAUAUUGGACAAUGGGCGCAAGCCUGAUCCAGCCAUACCGCGUGGGUGAAGAAGGCCUUCGGGUUGUAAAGCCCUUUUGUUGGGAAAGAAAAGCAGCAGGUUAAUACCCCGCUGUUCUGACGGUACCCAAAGAAUAAGCACCGGCUAACUUCGUG